rnacentral:rRNA from 1 species
GAUGAACGCUGGCGGCGUGCCUAAUACAUGCAAGUCGAGCGAACAGACAAGGAGCUUGCUCCUCUGACGUUAGCGGCGGACGGGUGAGUAACACGUGGAUAACCUACCUAUAAGACUGGGAUAACUUCGGGAAACCGGAGCUAAUACCGGAUAAUAUAUUGAACCGCAUGGUUCAAUAGUGAAAGACGGUUUUGCUGUCACUUAUAGAUGGAUCCGCGCCGCAUUAGCUAGUUGGUAAGGUAACGGCUUACCAAGGCGACGAUGCGUAGCCGACCUGAGAGGGUGAUCGGCCACACUGGAACUGAGACACGGUCCAGACUCCUACGGGAGGCAGCAGUAGGGAAUCUUCCGCAAUGGGCGAAAGCCUGACGGAGCAACGCCGCGUGAGUGAUGAAGGUCUUCGGAUCGUAAAACUCUGUUAUUAGGGAAGAACAAAUGUGUAAGUAACUAUGCACGUCUUGACGGUACCUAAUCAAAAAGCCACGGCUAACUACGUG